AAACCAGCUUGUCGGCGCCAUUUUGUCUCGGCAGCGGUGGCCGUAGCUCCAUCGCAUUUUAUGUUUCUGGCGAGAAGGGAACGGAGUUUUCAUCAGGUAGAUUGGUUUUUGUGCGGCCGUCCUCCACCGUUUCCUCCAGGACAGCACCUAGUCGUGGCCGGAGGAGUCUCAGAGCUGUCAGAAAGAAUAAGACUGAUUUUAUGGGAAAAUUAAGCAGAUGCUCCAGUUUGAGAAACCUGGAUCUGCGAUCUGUUUGUGGAUUCAAUUACUGGACUUGUCAACUCUGCCAGUGUACGUGCCAUUUCUCUUCCACUAUGAGAGGACCGAUUGUAUUGCACAUUUGUCUGGCUUUCUGUAGCCUUCUGCUUUUCAGCGUUGCCACACAAUGUCUGGCCUUCCCCAAAAUAGAAAGGAGGAGGGAGAUAGCACAUGUUCAUGCGGAAAAAGGGCAGUCCGAUAAGAUGAACACCGAUGACCUAGAAAAUAGCUCUGUUACCUCAAAGCAGACUCCCCAACUGGUGGUCUCUGAAGAUCCAAUGAUGAUGUCAGCAGUACCAUCGGCAACAUCAUUA
rnacentral:lncRNA from 1 species